CAACAUUAAACUUGGAUUACGCUCCAGCUGAGGCCUGAAUAAUGCAAUGGAGCGUCCCUUUUGGAGACUAAGCCUGAAGGAAGACGAUGUCUGAGAUUGACAGUGUGGAAGUCGCUAGAGCCAGAAGGACAGCAGCUGGUUCUGAAGACCCAGCUCCAAGAUGGUGAGAGGCCACCCAGCGAAUAAUGGACGUGUCAGGAGAUGGUCCUUUGAACCACGUCCAUGCGACGUCCCACUUCCCUGACUAAAGUUCUGUGAUGACUGCAGCAGAGUUUUUUGUUUUUUUACGGUUAUAGAAGGAAAUGUGACCGUGAGGAAGAAACAUCCCCCCUCUCUUGUCCUCCUGAUCCCUUUCCCUCGAGAAUUUCUGCCUUGAGCGACUUUUCAGCAAACAUUCGUUUCGUGUCUGCGGUACCUGGCGAGAGGCUGAGGACAGAGCUGAUAGCAGAGGUGGCCUCGUUUCUGCUGGUGUGGGGCCUUCAGACGGAGAAUAACAAGGGCUUGGGUGUUUCCAAUGGGGUGUGUUACCAGGGAGGCCACUUAGCGCUGUUCGGGAAGGCGUCCCUGAGACCUGGACGAUAAGGACGGACCCCCAUGCUCGGAGUAAGUCCAAGUAGCAGCAGUGGAGUCACCUUACAUCUCCGUCCAUUGGUCUCUUCACUCGUUCACGUGUUCAUAUCCAUUUCAUCUGUGUGCGCUGACCACCCUCUGAACACGAGGCACCGAGAAAAGGCCUGGGAGGCAAAGAUGUGUAAAAUGCAUCCUCUGUUCUCCAUGGACGUGACAGUCAAGUGAUCAGCCAGCAAGCACCGUCAGCAGAGUAUCAUAGCCAUUUUGUAAAUGCCGAUGUGGGGCUCGUGAGAGGUCUCCAAAAAAGGACAUGCCAACUGUGGAGAAGGUUAUAAUAUUUUAAUCCCAGGACAUACGAAGCCUUCAGUGUACAAAAGGUAACAGACCGUGUCAUGUGGGAAAACAGUAACAAACAGACAAGACCACACACAACCGCCCUCCAAAAAAAGAAAAUCUGAUGAAACUCUUUCAGCUGUUUCAUUGGUGUGUCAUAGGUCCUGGCCCACAGAUUGCCUGCUUCACCCCCCAGCAGCCUAGGGAAGUGGAUAGCUGUGUUUCCCAGUGAAGAUACUUGCCUCAAACACAUUUAGUGACAGCCUCACAUCACGGGACUUAUAAUGACACAGUGCAUUGGGAACACUGGCCCUUCACAUGGACUAACAGGGACAAGUCUUUCCUGUCCCCUCCAUGCCUUGCAGACAAUGAAAACCCUGUGUCAUACCUCCAUUCUGAGCCUGGGAAAUUCUAAUACCAUUGGCAAGCCCACAGUUCUUUUUAAUUGUGCUUUGUGUUACUAAGUAUAACUGGCCGUAGUCCCACCGUUGCUGGUUUUGGUGCAUUGGAAAGGUGAACUUGUCCUUCACGUGUCUUUCCAUCCAGAAUUGGACCUGAAAAACAAUGCAGGGUUCACUCUUCCUUGUUCCUUGUUGUCUUGGCCUUGAACUUGGAGAUAAGAAAGUCUGAGGACAAGCCACACUCAUAAUGAUAUUCCUACAACUGUUAGGAGAGAACGCUGCUCCAAGAGGGAAGAAGACUGCUCACCUGGCGAUAAUGACAGAGGAAAACCCCAGUUAGAACCCCAAGAAUGGACAGCAGAAACCUAAUUGCAAGGCCCACCGCCACGAGCGGGCACAGACAGCAGCUCUGGAAUAAAUCUCUGGUGAUAACAACACAGUCCACAACAGGGGUACUUUUAUAUUUAUAGUUUAUUCUCCAUGAUUGCCAGAGGCCUCAAAUCCCACAUAGUCAAAAUCUCCAUUCACCGCUGCCUGCUGGGCAUUUAACAAGGUCUCUUGUAACAGGACCCAGAACAAGUCUGAACAUGAAAAAAAGUGCAGGGGCCAGCUAGGCACUGCCGGCUGUGCGUUAGCCCAGUGGAGGCAUGGGAAAGAAACAGAAAGCACACGGUGACCUGAGUGCCUCAAGGCAUGGCUUCAAAAGGUGUCAACACCAAUUAAAUUGUAAAAGCUCUGUCAGCUUCUGAAAAGUCAUCCAGGCAGGGACAAGACAGUCUGUAAUCAAAGGGCUGGGACAUGAUUCCUAUGGUCCACCCCAGUCCCGGUACACACAUGUACGCCUGGCAAUCUGUGACUCCGACGUGAGCCCUCAAGGUACGGCUGUUCUUAAAGGUAUAAGCCUGAGCAUCCUCCUGAGGGACCUCUACAGGUGGACCGCUGGGGGAGCUUGAAAACCUUUAUUAGCAGGUAGCUUCUGGUGCCUCCCAUAGGUAUAUUGUCCCAAAAUAUGACUUCUCCGAAAACAAAGACCAUUGAUUCUGCCCACACAUGAGCUACCAGAUAAUUCCCUGGUCUCUUAACGUGAGGUAAACGGUGGCAGAUAAGCUACCUGGAACAAACAAUACAUGGAGAACUUUCUCUGUCAGCAAAAGGCUCCCUGCAAGCUACCCUUUCUGGCAAUGGAUGUUCUGACAGUAACGAAUUUGCAAGGGGCUUGUUUCAAAUAGUUACAGCAAU